AAUGCACCAAUUUGUAAGUCGCUCUGGAUAAGAGCGUCUGCUAAUGACAUAAA
rfam:Salmo salar isolate Sally breed double haploid chromosome ssa22, whole genome shotgun sequence.